rfam:Opisthorchis viverrini opera_v5_6.222, whole genome shotgun sequence.
GUCGAGAUGGCCGAGUGGUUAAGGCGUUGGACUUGAAAUCCAAUGGGGUUUCCCCGCGCAGGUUCGAACCCUGCUCUCGACG